GGAGUUUUCGGCAAUGGGGGAAACCCUGACCGAGCAACACCGCGUGAGUGAUGAAGGUCUUCGGAUUGUAAAACUCUGUUGUGUGGAAAAAAUGACAGGUAGAGUGGAAAACUACUUGUUUGAUGGUACCACACCAGAAAGCCACGGCUAACUACGUGCCAGCAGCCGCGGUAAUACGUAGGUGGCAAGCGUUAUCCGGAAUUAUUGGGCGUAAAGAGUGAGCAGGCGGUUAUUUAAGUCUGAAGUCAAAGGCUAUGGCUCAACCAUAGUUCGCUUUGGAAACUGGAUGACUAGAGUGCGAGAGAGGUAAGCGGAAUUCCAUGUGUAGCGGUGAAAUGCGUAGAUAUAUGGAGGAACACCAGUGGCGAAGGCGGCUUACUAGCUCGUAACUGACGCUCAGUCACGAAAGCGUGGGUAGCAAAUAGGAUUAGAUACCCUAGUAGUCCACGCCGUAAACGAUGAGAGCUAAGUGUUGGGGAGACCCAGUGCUGAAGUUAACACAUUAAGCUCUCCGCCUGGGAAGUACGCUCGCAAGAGUGAAACUUAAAGGAAUUGACGGGGGCCCGCACAAGCAGUGGAGCAUGUGGUUUAAUUCGACGCUACGCGAAGAACCUUACCAAGACUUGACAUACGAUUAAAUACCCUAGAAAUAGGGGGAUAGCUAUAGUCGAUACAGGUGGUGCAUGGUUGUCGUCAGCUCGUGUCGUGAGAUGUUGGGUUAAGUCCCGCAACGAGCGCAACCCUUGUCCUUAGUUACCAUCAUUAAGUUGGGGACUCUAAGGAGACUGCCGAUGUAAAUCGGAGGAAGGUGGGGAUGACGUCAAAUCAUCAUGCCCUUUAUGUCUUGGGCUACACACGUGCUACAAUGGCCGGUACAAAGAGAAGCAAUACCGCGAGGUGGAGCAAAUCUCAUAAAGCCGGUCUCAGUUCGGAUUGAAGUCUGCAACUCGACUUCAUGAAGCUGGAAUUGCUAGUAAUCGCGAAUCAGCAAUGUCGCGGUGAAUACGUUCCCG
rnacentral:rRNA from 1 species